GAAGAAAACUGAAGGAUCAAAAAGAAGAGAGAGUUACGAUCAGUAUACAGAAGCAAUAUAUAUGUAAAGAAGAUGAGUGAGAAGAUAGGAGCUGUUGAUUCCAGUUAUGAUACUGUUUACCAGCCCAAACCAAGCUGCAAUUUCUUUGAAGAAGCAAUAAGGGCUAUUCUCAAGUGUUUGGGUGUAGAGGCUCCUUCAAACACAAACACAACAACUGAGAAAGUCGUUGGCGAACCACCAGUAACAGAAGCCGAACCAGUUCUACUGGGUGUGGUGAGGCCUGGUCCAACCCCACCACCCGAUCCUCAGCACAAUUGAUCGACAAAUAUUACUCAGACAGCUACUGGGAUGAAGAUAUCUAAGUAUGGUGUAUGUGUGUGUGAAUUAGCUAAGCUUUGGUAAAUAGGAUAGAAUCUACUAGCUAAAGUUGAAACUACAUAGAAAUACUCUCCGUUUGUAACUUUUGAAUCUGUAUUUGCUUGUUCGAUCUGUAUGUGAAUCCAACUGCACGAGAAUUUGUACGCAGUGCUAAAGUAACGUUUUGAACUGUUGAUGAUCCCAUGAAUGCAUUAUCCUUUCGUUUUGUGUCUUUUUAAUUAGGGACCAUAAACCAUCGAUCCUUUCAAGUGUGAGUCAUGUACGUACGUAGGGUUUCUAAAUUGCUGUCUCUCAUUAUACAUAUAUCUAAAUUCUUCUUAAGAU